AUAAUAAGUAAUUAAUAAUAAAUCUCGCGAACUAAAUGCAUGCUUGACACUGACAUUUAAAUCACAGAUGUCACAUUCGCUAAUAACCUCAAGCGCACGCGACGACGCAGUAGGUACCGGUAAGCGGUAAUGGCGUCCCCGUUUAUACAAACCGGCAUCUGAAUGUGUAUUACAGUAAAAUAACGUUAUAAUGGUCUUUGUGGUGUAUGGUGUUUUUGAAAGAAAGUGCAACCAAAGCAGAGACGCCGCUGAUCAACCACCGCACCGCGCGGCGCUUUUGGAGAACAUGCUGAUAAUAUAGUGGAUUUCCUGAACCGGUACCACAUACCAGUACCGGAGCAGGACAAGAGACACAGGACACUGUGGACGGCCAAGCUAAGUCAAAAACAGAUACGCCGCGAGCACCAGGACACAGCGGACACGUGGCAACAGGCAGCGACCCGCGCCAGCGACGCCCAGCUGGAGAUCCCACCCGUGGCGGCAGGCCAGGACUCAUGUGGUAAACAACAACAAUGUAUAAAAUGCCAGUAAAUAAGAUCAAAAACCUCCUCUCCAAAACAAACCCCACACCCGUACAUACAUACACACCUUGCAAAUUAAACAAAAUCUUGCUAAAGACAAAGUUAUUGGAGAGAAAGUUGUUGAUGCAGUAGCAUUCUUUUAAGUUGGUACUUAAACGACUGUGUUGCUUUUAGGACUCUUAAUGGUGGUGGGAGAUCAUUCCAGCAGCGAGUCGCCGCAAAUUUAAAACUGCCCCUGAAAGCCGCUGUCCUGUGCUGCGGUAUCUUUAGCGGAUCUACCUCAGAACGGAGACCGGAAUCAUACCGAGUCUGACGCCAAAUCCUCAUUUACCCUCCGCACCGCCAUAGCCGUAUCAUCUCCCCUGAAGGUUAUGUACAGCUGGAUGUCAUCUGCAUACAUGUGGUACAUACAAUUAAUAAAGGAUCCGGCGAUGUCAGCGCUGUAAAGGAUGUACAGCAACGGCCCAAGUAUCGAUCCCUGCGGGACUCCUCUGGGCACUCGUAGUGGAACCGAGGACAUGGUAGAUCCAUCAUCCCUGUGGAUCUGGAUAUAUUAUGUAUACCUAUUUUUCUUUCCCCAUUUAUUGAUAUCAUUAGUUACAUUUAAAAUUUCGUGAUUCAAAAGCAGCGAAAGGGUAAUUAAUGUCAUCAAUCAGAUCGGAUUCAGCAUGUGAAUAAUAAUGCAGUCUAGUCACACUUAAUAUGCAAUAAAGAGUCGCAGUAACUUUAAGAACUGAUUUUAAUUUGAGCGUGUAAUCACCUAAAAUAUGUACCUAUGUUUGCAAACCCAAUUACCAUCUUCAUUUAAACUUAUUGAAGCCUAGACAAAUGAAUCAACCUGUUUUCUAGUUAUUGAUGAUUGAUUGAUAUCAGAUUUGUCAGAGAAUGAUAUUUCAAGUUUCAUAAAGCGGCGCUCCGGAUGAACGCCGUGAUAAUAAAAUUGUAUAUGAAUAUACACAUGUCAAACGGAAAAUAGAUUAGAAACAAUAUUUAACCCCUCGAACGUUCUUAUGAGCACCCGGUGGAUCAUAAGAAAAAAUGCUCCAUGCUGCUUUCUCUUUUAUAAAAUCUAUUAUUAAUGUUUUGUUUUUAUUUUGACUAUAUUUCUUUUAUUUCUACCUCUAUUGUAAUGAUCCUUGUUUUCGUGUGCCAAUGGCCAAAUAAAUGCAUUUUCUUGCAUGCAUAAGGAUAAGGAAAUUCAUAAGGAACGCGGACGCUCGACGGGUUAAAGCUUUUCUUUUGUGCUAUUGCAUAAAGACCAAGAUCUAUAUGAAACUAACUUGUUCUCUGUUGUCCCAUAUCAAAAUUAAUAA